CCUAUAGGGACGUUAGAUUAGAUAAUACAUAAUAAUAUAUUAGGCGUCUACGUUAUCUGAUCAUUAGGUAUGCCCUAAUUAGAACAUAACAACGUGUUUAUUUUUUGAUCAUUUAACGAUUUUAACACGAUAUUUACAAAACAAGCUAUGUGUGUAGGUAUAAUAUAUUAUAGUAUAAUAAUAUAGGUGGGUAGGUUACUUUACUUUGCUAUGCAAUAUAAAUAAUGUCAUGUCAGUCA